rnacentral:tRNA from 2 species
GUACCCUUAGCUCAGCUGGAUAGAGCGUCUGACUACGGAUCAGAAGGUCGGGAGUUCGAAUCUUCUAGGGUACGCCA